CAGUCGCGAUUCCGUGGCUAGUUUUGACUUUCACAACUAAAAGAAACACAGGAGGAAAGGAAGGAGGAAAACAGGUGUUCUGCGCGUCUGUCCCGGAUAAGUAUCGGAGCAACAGAAAAUCGCCUCGCUUCUCUUACGAUUUAGCACAAUGUAAUUUGACCUGAACAUACUGUAAUGUAAUCAUUGAAUGUCAAGAUUGCUUGAAAAAAAAAAGAAGGAAAGAAGGGAGAAGAACAGAAGAUAAGGAAAUGGAUUUGCCAAGAUAUAUGGGUCUCGAUAAAACUAUCGUUUGUUUCUUUAUCGCGUGCUACUUUUCUUACGACGCAGUCUGGUCGAAAGAGGAUACCAAUCAUGUAAAAAUUUUAAUCUCGCAAACGACCGAAUACUUCGAGCGUGCUAAAAACGCUCCAAGAUAGGAUUUAAUAUACUCAUCGUUGAUUGAUAACUGACGACGUUUACAAUUAUCAACAUGCGAUACUAUCUGCAUUGCAUUCACGGUUAAUCGCUUUCAGUUCUCCAGGCUUUAAUCGACACAGUCGCGGACGUAAUUGAAGGGAAAGCUAAGCAAGCAAAUCGCGAUGAAUUCGCUGAAUGAACGAUAACACGGUAGUACUCAGUGUUUCUCCAAGUGUCGCAGAAUCGAUCAUUCGUCAAGAAAAAAAUCACAUACACGUAACGUGUUGCAAUUUCUUUAAAAAUAUCGAUAAAAUUCCUUUAUCGAGAGUUCUUGUUAUUAAUCGUCAUUAUGAUCACGUUACUUUUCCACAAUAUUUUUCGCACUUAGCGCAAGAUGUAACGUAGAAAAGAGGUCAUAUACAUAUAUCUGAAUGCCAAGCGUAUUUACAUUUAUCGGUAUGUCAACCAAACGAUACAUUUCAACAGGAGCGAGAUAAUCUGCUCUUACGAUGAAAAUGUGAACUAGUUAUCUAUUAGUCAGUUACUAAACACAAUGUCAUGACAAACAUGAAAGAGUAACAGCACGGACGAAGUAUGCAUAACGUACGGCUAAUAUACAUCAAGAAACUUCGUAUUUCAUCGAUUUAGAACGGUGAAUUCGAGAAAUUGUAUUUGUGGCAAUAGCUAAGCCGCGGAUGUUUAUACAUUUCUGAAAAAUUUAAAGACGUACAAAUCUUUAGACUCUCUCUAUAUGUAAAAUGUAAAAAUAUGUAAAAUAUGUAAAAUGAUCUCUAUAUGUAAAAAAAACAUAUAACAUAUUCAAAGCAUAGUGUUUCAUAUAACGUUUAGCAUUUGAAACAAAUUAUCACAUAGAUUUUACUUUUUCAGUUAAUAAUGUAACUAAAUUUGCAUAAACACUGGUGGUCUAGUAAUCACUGAAGUUACAAAAUAUCUAGUGCCGUAUCGCGUGAAAUAAAUCAUUCAUCAGUGAUCAUUAUUUGCAUUCUUGUACAUACAAUUACGUCUGCGUAAAAUUAACCCGUACAUAAUACAUUAAACAGACAAUAAUAAAUAACUUUGCGCAGUUAUUAAAGAGUUUCGAGAAAAUUCAACGUUAUGUUUAUUUACGAAUUUCUUAUUCUUCAAAUUUACAAAACCAAGCACGAGAUCUUGGCCUUCUUUAUUAAAUUAAACUUAGAUAUUAGUAAUACGAUAACUACAAACAUUAGCCUAUGGUCUAAUUGAAUAAAGCAUGUAGCGUUUCUUCAUACCAGUUGUUCAUU
rnacentral:lncRNA from 1 species